ACUCCUACGGGAGGCAGCAGUGAGGAAUAUUGGUCAAUGGGCGCAAGCCUGAACCAGCCAUGUCGCGUGCAGGAAGACGGCCCUAUGGGUUGUAAACUGCUUUUGUAUGGGAAGAAAGUGUUCGACGUGUCGAAUAUUGCCGGUACCAUACGAAUAAGGAUCGGCUAACUCC
rnacentral:rRNA from 1 species